rnacentral:rRNA from 1 species
GAUGAACGCUGGCGGCGUGCCUAACACAUGCAAGUCGAGCGAUUCUCUUCGGAGAAGAGCGGCGGACGGGUGAGUAACGCGUGGGUAACCUGCCCUGUACACACGGAUAACAUACCGAAAGGUAUGCUAAUACGAGAUAAUAUGCUUUUAUCGCAUGGUAGAAGUAUCAAAGUUUUUGCGGUACAGGAUGGACCCGCGUCUGAUUAGCUAGUUGGUAAGGUAACGGCUUACCAAGGCGACGAUCAGUAGCGGACCGGGGAGGGUGAUCGGCCACAUUGUAACUGAGACACGGGCCAAACUCCUACGGGAGGCAGCAGUGGGGAAUAUUGCACAAUGGGCGAAAGCCUGAUGCAGCAACGCCGCGUGAGCGAUGAAGGCCUUCGGGUCGUAAAGCUCUGUCCUCAAGGAAGAUAAUGACGGUACUUGAGGAGGAAGCCCCGGCUAACUACGUGCCAGCAGCCGCCGUAA